AACGAACGCUGGCGGCAUGCCUAACACAUGCAAGUCGAACGAGACCUUCGGGUCUAGUGGCGCACGGGUGCGUAACGCGUGGGAACCUGCCCUUAGGUUCGGAAUAACUUCCCGAAAGGGGUGCUAAUACCGGAUAAUGUCUUCGGACCAAAGAUUUAUCGCCUUUGGAUGGGCCCGCGUUGGAUUAGCUAGUUGGUAGGGUAAACGCCUACCAAGGCGACGAUCCAUAGCUGGUCUGAGAGGAUGAUCCGCCACACUGGGACUGAGACACGGCCCAGACUCCUACGGGAGGCAGCAGUGGGGAAUAUUGGACAAUGGGCGAAAGCCUGAUCCAGCAAUGCCGCGUGAGUGAUGAAGGCCUUAGGGUUGUAAAGCUCUUUUAACCGGGAUGAUAAUGACAGUACCGGGAGAAUAAGCUCCGGCUAACUCCGUG
rnacentral:rRNA from 1 species